rnacentral:snRNA from 1 species
GUACUCACUUUGACAGCACAUAUGCUAAAAUUGGAAUGAUACAGAGAAGAUUAGCAUGGUCCUUGUGCAAGGAUUACAUGCAUAUUCAUAAAAUGUUCCAUAUUUUU